AGCAUGUGGUUUAAUUCGAUGCAACGCGAAGAACCUUACCAGGUCUUGACAUCCCGAUGCUAUUCUAGAGAUAGAAAGUUACUUCGGUACAUCGGUGACAGGUGGUGCAUGGUUGUCGUCAGCUCGUGUCGUGAGAUGUUGGGUUAAGUCCCGCAACGAGCGCAACCCCUAUUGUUAGUUGCCAUCAUUCAGUUGGGCACUCUAGCGAGACUGCCGGUAAUAAACCGGAGGAAGUGGGGAUGACGUCAAAUCAUCAUGCCCCUUAUGACCUGGGCUACACACGUGCUACAAUGGUUGGUACAACGAGUUGCGAGUCGGUGACGGCGAGCUAAUCUCUUAAAGCCAAUCUCAGUUCGGAUUGUAGGCUGCAACUCGCCUACAUGAAGUCGGAAUCGCUAGUAAUCGCGGAUCAGCACGCCGCGGUGAAUACGUUCCCGGGCCUU
rnacentral:rRNA from 1 species